rnacentral:rRNA from 1 species
AUACGGAGGGAGCUAGCGUUGUUCGGAAUUACUGGGCGUAAAGCGCACGUAGGCGGCUAUUCAAGUCAGAGGUGAAAGCCCGGGGCUCAACCCCGGAACUGCCUUUGAAACUAGAUAGCUUGAAUCCAGGAGAGGUGAGUGGAAUUCCGAGUGUAGAGGUGAAAUUCGUAGAUAUUCGGAAGAACACCAGUGGCGAAGGCGGCUCACUGGACUGGUAUUGACGCUGAGGUGCGAAAGCGUGGGGAGCAAGCAGGAUUAGAUACCCUGGUAGUCCACGCCGUAAACGAUGAUAACUAGCUGUCAGGGCACAUGGUGUUUUGGUGGCGCAGCUAACGCAUUAAGUUAUCCGCCUGGGGAGUACGGUCGCAAGAUUAAA